GCUAAAUCGUUGAAGGAAUGAGUAGACGGCAGCCCUUGUCACAGAGAGAAGAUUCCAUGGUUGAGAGAAUCUUUACAAGAAGAGCCGUUGAAUGCUACUCCUGAGAGCAGGGCGCAAAAUCCUGCCGGGUUAAAAAGCCCGUUAUCUGUAAAAUAAGGCGAUCCGUGCUAUAUGUGCGGGUAAGCAGGGUGGUACCGCGUGAGAAGAUAAGCUCUCGUCCCUGAA
rnacentral:ncRNA from 1 species